UACGUAGGGGGCGAGCGUUGUCCGGAUUUAUUGGGCGUAAAGAGCGUGUAGGCGGCCAGGUAGGUCGGUUGUGAAAACUGGAGGCUUAACCUUCAGACGUCGACCGAAACCAUCUGGCUAGAGUCCGGAAGAGGAGAGUGGAAUUCCUGGUGUAGCGGUGAAAUGCGCAGAUAUCAGGAAGAACACCCGUGGCGAAGGCGGCUCUCUGGGACGGUACUGACGCUGAGACGCGAAAGCGUGGGGAGCAAACAGG
rnacentral:rRNA from 1 species